CCUACGGGCGGCUGCAGUGGGGAAUAUUGGGCAAUGGAAGGAAUUCUGACCCAGCCAUGCCGCGUGCAGGAAUACAGUCCUAUGGACUUUAAACUGCUUUUAUUAUAGAGUAACCUGGGGGACGCGUCCCCCACUGCAAGUAUAUAAUGAAUAAGCAUCGGCUAACUCCGUGCCAGCAGCCGCGGUAAUACGGGGGAUGCAAGCGUUAUCCGGAUUUAUUGGGUUUAAAGGGUGCGCAGGCUGAUCGGUAAGUCAUGGGUGAAAAGUCACUGCUUAACAGUGAUCGUGCCUAUGAUACUGCCGGACUAGAGUUUAAGAGGUGUAACUGGAAUGUGAUGUGUAGCGGUGAAAUGCUUAGAUAUGUCACAGAACGCCAAUCGUGAAGACAGGUUACAAACUUAAUACUGACGCUCAUGCACGAAAGCGUGGGGAUCAAACAGGAUUAGAUACCCCUGUAGUC
rnacentral:rRNA from 1 species